CUAUCUGGCACCCCGUCCGCUGGAUCUUCACACAGGGAAAAAACGAGCGCGCCUCAUCAACUGGCGUAACCCAGACAGCGACACAUUGUCUCUCUAUCGGUGAGUUGGCAUCGGACCAGCAGCUUAUUUUCUCCUCUAAACGACACUUCAGUUCCUGGGCCAGGGAGGUGAGACAACCUGGAGGAGAACCACACACAGUCGCUGCGGUACUGUUUUUACGGCUACUUUGCGGCCUUAACAGCCUCCAUUACGGUCAUCGCCCGGGGGUACUCAGUAACCUCCGGGUUUGGGAGGCCGCAGAGGUGCACAAGCCUGGCGAUGAGGGGUUUGUGAUCUCUGGAACACAAGACAAUUGUAAUUUGGGGCCGCCCAAAUCUUCUUGGAGACUGACAAGUUUCACAGGCUGGAGAGGUGGCUGCAGCUGUGGGCGGCCAGCAAGCCACCGAACCAGCUGUUUUUUUUCAUGGUUGGGAAGGGCCCAUGCUAAAACUUCUUGCACCACCUGCAGGUAGCGUGGGCGGAGAUGGGCCUUAAAGGGUCCCCCAAUUUCACCGACCUGAGGACCACUGUGUCUGCUCAUGCCAAGAACAACCUGCCUGCCGAGCAGCGGAAGAUGGUGGCCACCUUGUGUGCCACAACACAGCCACAGCUGACUGCUUCUAAGCCCUCAGCCUGAACGUGGGCCAGUCAAAGAGGAUGAGGGAGCAUUUCCACCAGGCCGUCACCCCCACCGUGCCAUCACCAGAGUCACCAGAAGCCUCCUCCUCCACCACCAGGAAGAGGUCCUGCAAGUCUGAGUCCUCCUCCAGUUCCGAGGACGAAACCUCUGUCCCCUACCUGGAGUCAGGGACCUCAGGACUGGAAGAGCAGAGGGAGUUUAUGGCGAGGCUGCAAAAUACACCAGAGAAGGCCCUCAGGACAAGCCAGUAUGGCAGGCUGAUGGUGGCGCAGACUGCGCUCGAGGCUCAACUCCACCUGUCUAAAAAGAUUUCGGAGAGGGCGAGAAGGGCAGUGUAUCGGGUGCAGCCCAGAAGCCUUAGACACACAGACUCUCUCUCUCACACACACACACACACACACACAUACACACACGUAAAUAGUUGUUUAUUGUGUUUUAUAGAUUGGUUCAGAUUCAUUUUGUAUUGUAACAUGUUCGUUUUUAGUACUUUAAGAUUCCUUUUUUUAUUAGAUGUUCUAUUUAGUAGAUGUUAAGAUUAAUUUACUUUUAGUGUGUUUUCAAAUGUUGUUCAAUAUUGGUAUGUGUUUAAUACAAGUUCCUUUUUACUUAAAAUGUCACAACUAUAAUACUGAGCACGCUUAGCCUAAACAUGAAGCUAGGAACACCAAAUUGGUCAGGUAUUCUCAACACAGGCCCACAUUUGAGUUUGAAAAGGUUCAAGGCAAUUUGUAGCUUGAAACAAGCUCCAAAGUUACAGAGUUAAAAAGACAGAAACAGCCAGAGAAAUUGAGACAGAAACCAGCCAGGAUCAGUCUAACUGUUAAAUGUAUGAGGAGCACAUAUGCAAAUAAAAAGCAUUACAAAAUUCAGUCCAAGCUGCCUAAACACUUCAUUUUCAAGCUAACUUUUACCAUACACCUGUCUGAUUUUCCUUACUGCAGUAACCGAGGCAAUUGAGGUAUUUAGGGAACAUUUGUAAAUUGUAGCCACAGAACUUGUGGUUACAUUCUAAACUGUUUGGGUCUGCGAAUGCACAUCAGUCAGCCGCCACGCCCUGAUAGCUGCUGGUUCACUGUGUUUAUAUAGACCAGUGUUUGGGAGCAAGAAACUGCAUGUAACAAGUUACAUGUAAUUACAUUACAAAAUAAAUGUUUAGGUGCUAGAGUCACUGAGGAAAAAUGUAAUUAAUUUAGAGUUACUUAUCAAAUAUUGAUGAUUACAAUGGGGUUACAUCUGAAAAUAUUAUUUUCGAUUAAAAAGCUUAUAUGUA